rnacentral:rRNA from 1 species
GCAGCAGCCACGGUAAUACGAAGGGGGCUAGCGUUGCUCGGAAUGACUGGGCGUAAAGGGCGCGUAGGCGGUUUCUUAAGUCUGAUGUGAAAGCCCCCGGCUCAACCGGGGAGGGUCAUUGGAAACUGGGAAACUUGAGUGCAGAAGAGGAGAGUGGAAUUUCACGUGUAGCGGUGAAAUGCGUAGAUAUCGGAAGGAACACCUGUGGCGAAAGCGGCUCACUGGACAAUAACUGACGCUGAUGCACGAAAGCUAGGGGAGCAAACAGGAUUAGAUACCCCAGUAGUCCCUGUCUCUUAUAC